rnacentral:lncRNA from 1 species
UACCACUUAGGGAGAUAGCACUUAGAGAGGAAGAGUUUGGUCUUGCCUUUAAUGAAAGUGUAAGUAUGGGCUUGUCAAAACUGAUGUCCAGGAGAAUGUGAGCUCCAUGAGGUCAGGCACUUGGAUGCUGAAUCUACACAACCUUAACAUCAACUUUUGCUUGUAGGUGUGCUCAGCUCAUGUAUGUUAAAUAAACCAAAAGGGGGAAAUGUACACUAUAUGAAAAUUGUUUCAGAGGAGGAAACCUACCAAGUAAAAUUAAUUCAGGAAGUGAUCAUUUGUUGAAGUACAGAAAACCACUUGAUAUUAUAAUCUGAAGUAUUAAUAUGAUAUGAGCCUAUUGCAACUGGCUCCUUGCCUCCCACAGCCUCUGUUCUC